UUAAGCGACUAAGCGUACACGGUGGAUGCCUGGCAGUCAGAGGCGAUGAAGGACGUGCUAAUCUGCGAUAAGCGUCGGUGAGGUGAUAUGAACCGUUAUAACCGGCGAUUUCCGAAUGGGGAAACCCAGUGUGUUUCGACACACUAUCAUUAACUGAAUCCAUAGGUUAAUGAGGCGAACCGGGGAACUGAAACAUCUAAGUACCCGAGGAAAAGAAAUCAACCGAGAUUCCCCAGUAGCGGCGAGCGAACGGGGAGGAGCCCAGAGCCUGAAUCAGUGUGUGUGUUAGUGGAAGCGUCUGGAAAGGCGCGCGAUACAGGGUGACAGCCCGUACACAAAAAUGCACAUACUGUGAGCUCGAUGAGUAGGGCGGGACACGUGGUAUCCUGUCUGAAUAUGGGGGACCAUCCUCCAAGGCUAAUACUCCUGACUGACCGAUAGUGAACCAGUACCGUGAGGGAAAGGCGAAAAGAACCCGGCGAGGGGAGUGAAAAAGAACCUGAAACCGUGUACGUACAAGCAGUGGGAGCCUCUUAAUGGGGUGACUGCGUACCUUUUGUAUAAUGGGUCAGCGACUUAUAUUCUGUAGCAAGGUUAACCGAAUAGGGGAGCCGAAGGGAAACCGAGUCUUAACUGGGCGUUAAGUUGCAGGGUAUAGACCCGAAACCCGGUGAUCUAGCCAUGGGCAGGUUGAAGGUUGGGUAACACUAACUGGAGGACCGAACCGACUAAUGUUGAAAAAUUAGCGGAUGACUUGUGGCUGGGGGUGAAAGGCCAAUCAAACCGGGAGAUAGCUGGUUCUCCCCGAAAGCUAUUUAGGUAGCGCCUCGUGAAUUCAUCUCCGGGGUAGAGCACUGUUUCGGCAAGGGGGUCAUCCCGACUUACCAACCCGAUGCAAACUGCGAAUACCGGAGAAUGUUAUCACGGGAGACACACGGCGGGUGCUAACGUCCGUCGUGAAGAGGGAAACAACCCAGACCGCCAGCUAAGGUCCCAAAGUCAUGGUUAAGUGGGAAACGAUGUGGGAAGGCCCAGACAGCCAGGAUGUUGGCUUAGAAGCAGCCAUCAUUUAAAGAAAGCGUAAUAGCUCACUGGUCGAGUCGGCCUGCGCGGAAGAUGUAACGGGGCUAAACCAUGCACCGAAGCUGCGGCAGCGACACUAUGUGUUGUUGGGUAGGGGAGCGUUCUGUAAGCCUGUGAAGGUGGCCUGUGAGGGUUGCUGGAGGUAUCAGAAGUGCGAAUGCUGACAUAAGUAACGAUAAAGCGGGUGAAAAGCCCGCUCGCCGGAAGACCAAGGGUUCCUGUCCAACGUUAAUCGGGGCAGGGUGAGUCGACCCCUAAGGCGAGGCCGAAAGGCGUAGUCGAUGGGAAACAGGUUAAUAUUCCUGUACUUGGUGUUACUGCGAAGGGGGGACGGAGAAGGCUAUGUUGGCCGGGCGACGGUUGUCCCGGUUUAAGCGUGUAGGCUGGUUUUCCAGGCAAAUCCGGAAAACCAAGGCUGAGGCGUGAUGACGAGGCACUACGGUGCUGAAGCGACAAAUGCCCUGCUUCCAGGAAAAGCCUCUAAGCAUCAGGUAACAUCAAAUCGUACCCCAAACCGACACAGGUGGUCAGGUAGAGAAUACCAAGGCGCUUGAGAGAACUCGGGUGAAGGAACUAGGCAAAAUGGUGCCGUAACUUCGGGAGAAGGCACGCUGAUAUGUAGGUGAAAGCGACUUGCUCGUGGAGCUGAAAUCAGUCGAAGAUACCAGCUGGCUGCAACUGUUUAUUAAAAACACAGCACUGGUGCAAACACGAAAGUGGACGUAUACGGUGUGACGCCUGCCCGGUGCCGGAAGGUUAAUUGAUGGGGUUAGCGGCAACGCGAAGCUCUUGAUCGAAGCCCCGGUAAACGGCGGCCGUAACUAUAACGGUCUAAGGUAGCGAAAUUCCUUGUCGGGUAAGUUCCGACCUGCACGAAUGGCGUAAUGAUGGCCAGGCUGUCUCCACCCGAGACUCAGUGAAAUUGAACUCGCUGUGAAGAUGCAGUGUACCCGCGGCAAGACGGAAAGACCCCGUGAACCUUUACUAUAGCUUGACACUGAACAUUGAGCCUUGAUGUGUAGGAUAGGUGGAGGCUUUGAAGUGUGGACGCCAGUCUGCAUGGAGCCGACCUUGAAAUACCACCCUUUAAUGUUUGAUGUUCUAACGUUGGCCCGUAAUCCGGGUUGCGGACAGUGUCUGGUGGGUAGUUUGACUGGGGCGGUCUCCUCCUAAAGAGUAACGGAGGAGCACGAAGGUUGGCUAAUCCUGGUCGGACAUCAGGAGGUUAGUGCAAUGGCAUAAGCCAGCUUGACUGCGAGCGUGACGGCGCGAGCAGGUGCGAAAGCAGGUCAUAGUGAUCCGGUGGUUCUGAAUGGAAGGGCCAUCGCUCAACGGAUAAAAGGUACUCCGGGGAUAACAGGCUGAUACCGCCCAAGAGUUCAUAUCGACGGCGGUGUUUGGCACCUCGAUGUCGGCUCAUCACAUCCUGGGGCUGAAGUAGGUCCCAAGGGUAUGGCUGUUCGCCAUUUAAAGUGGUACGCGAGCUGGGUUUAGAACGUCGUGAGACAGUUCGGUCCCUAUCUGCCGUGGGCGCUGGAGAACUGAGGGGGGCUGCUCCUAGUACGAGAGGACCGGAGUGGACGCAUCACUGGUGUUCGGGUUGUCAUGCCAAUGGCACUGCCCGGUAGCUAAAUGCGGAAGAGAUAAGUGCUGAAAGCAUCUAAGCACGAAAACUUGCCCCGAGAUGAGUUCUCCCUGAGACUUAGAGUCUCCUGAAGGAACGUUGAAGACGACGACGUUGAUAGGCCGGGUGUGUAAGCGCAGCGAUGCGUUGAGCUAACCGGUACUAAUGAACCGUGAGGCUUAACCUU
rnacentral:rRNA from 1 species